rnacentral:rRNA from 1 species
AACGAACGCUGGCGGCAUGCCUAACACAUGCAAGUCGAACGAGACCCUCGGGUCUAGUGGCGCACGGGUGCGUAACGCGUGGGAACCUGCCCUUAGGUUCGGAAUAACUCCCCGAAAGGGGUGCUAAUACCGGAUAAUGUCUUCGGACCAAAGAUUUAUCGCCUUUGGAUGGGCCCGCGUUGGAUUAGCUAGUUGGUAGGGUAAAAGCCUACCAAGGCGACGAUCUAUAGCUGGUCUGAGAGGAUGAUCAGCCACACUGGGACUGAGACACGGCCCAGACUCCUACGGGAGGCAGCAGUGGGGAAUAUUGGACAAUGGGCGAAAGCCUGAUCCAGCAAUGCCGCGUGAGUGAUGAAGGCCUUAGGGUUGUAAAGCUCUUUUACCCGGGAUGAUAAUGACAGUACCGGGAGAAUAAGCUCCGGCUAACUCCGUG